rnacentral:rRNA from 1 species
AGACGGGUGAGGAACACGUGGGAACAUACCCUUUGGUUCGGAAUAACUCAGGGAAACUUGAGCUAAUACCGAAUAAGUCGGCAACGAGAAAGAUUCAUCGCCGAAGGAUUGGCCCGCGUCCGAUUAGCUAGUUGGUGAGGUAAUGGCUCACCAAGGCGACGAUCGGUAGCUGGUCUGAGAGGAUGAUCAGCCACAUUGGGACUGAGACACGGCCCAAACUCCUACGGGAGGCAGCAGUGGGGAAUAUUGGACAAUGGGCGCAAGCCUGAUCCAGCCAUGCCGCGUGAGUGAUGACGGCCUUAGGGUUGUAAAGCUCUUUCACCCACGACGAUAAUGACGGUAGUGGGAGAAGAAGCCCCGGCUAACUUCGUGCCAGCAGCCGCGGUAAUACGAAGGGGGCUAGCGUUGUUCGGAUUUACUGGGCGUAAAGCGCACGUAGGCGGAUCUUUAAGUCAGGGGUGAAAUGCCAAGGCUCAACCUUGGAACUGCCUUUGAUACUGGGGAUCUUGAGUUCGGGAGAGGUGAGUGGAACUGCGAGUGUAGAGGUGAAAUUCGUAGAUAUUCGCAAGAACACCA